rnacentral:ncRNA from 1 species
GAUUAAGCCAUGCAUGUCUAAGCACAUGGCGUAUUAAGGCGAAAUCGCGAAUGGCUCAUUGAAUCAGUUAUGGUUCUUUGGAUCGUAACUUGGGCAAUUCUAGAGCUAAUACAUGCAGCGGGGCUCCGACCCUUUGCAGACGAACGCUUUUAGUAGACCAAAACUAAUCGGUCCUCGUUCCGUAAUAUGCAGUGACUCUACAUAACUUUGGGCUGAUCACACGGGCUCGUCCCCGCGACGUACCUUUCAAGUGUUUCUCUUAUCAACUGUCGAUGGUAGGUUAUGCGGCUACCAUGGUCGUAACGGUUGAUGGAGAAUCAAGGUUCGAUUCCGGAGAAGGAGCCUGAGAAACGCCUACUACAUCCAAGGAAGGCAGUAGGCUCGCCAAUACCCACUCACAGAACAGGUU